rnacentral:rRNA from 1 species
GACGGAGGAGGCAAGCGUUAUCCGGAAUUAUUGGGCGUAAAGGGUACGUAGGCGGCUGGUCAAGUCUGGGGUUAAAGGCCACAGCUCAACUGUGGGAAGGCCCUGGAAACUGACCGGCUAGAGUGAGGUAGGGGUUGCGGGAAUUCCCGGUGUAGCGGUGAAAUGCGUAGAGAUCGGGAAGAACACCUGAGGCGGAAGCGCGCAACUGGGCCUCAACUGACGCUGAGGUACGAAAGCUAGUGGAGCGAAGGGG